rnacentral:rRNA from 1 species
AUUGAACGCUGGCGGCAGGCUUAACACAUGCAAGUCGAGCGGAUGACGGGAGCUUGCUCCUUGAUUCAGCGGCGGACGGGUGAGUAAUGCCUAGGAAUCUGCCUGGUAGUGGGGGACAACGUUUCGAAAGGAACGCUAAUACCGCAUACGUCCUACGGGAGAAAGCAGGGGACCUUCGGGCCUUGCGCUAUCAGAUGAGCCUAGGUCGGAUUGGCUAGUUGGUGGGGUAAUGGCUCACCAAGGCGACGAUCCGUAACUGGUCUGAGAGGAUGAUCAGUCACACUGGAACUGAGACACGGUCCAGACUCCUACGGGAGGCAGCAGUGGGGAAUAUUGGACAAUGGGCGAAAGCCUGAUCCAGCCAUGCCGCGUGUGUGAAGAAGGUCUUCGGAUUGUAAAGCACUUUAAGUUGGGAGGAAGGGCAGUAAGUUUAUACCUUGCUGUUUUGACGUUACCGGCAGAAUAAGCACCGGCUAACUCUGUGCCAGCAGCCGCGGUAA